CAGAGUUAGGGUCCCCCGGGCCCGACCUCCCACCCUUUGUUGUCGAACAAUCAUCGUUGCUUUGGCGGGACCGUCCGGCCCCACGGCCGGCCGCCGGGCCCUCGCGGUCUGGUGAGCUCCCGCCAGAGACCAACCAAACCCUUCGUUCAAACAUUCGUCUGAGUAACAAACAAAUAAAUCA
rnacentral:misc_RNA from 1 species